rnacentral:tRNA from 1 species
GCCGGAGUGGUGGAAUUGGCAGACACAGAGGACUUAAAAUCCUCUGACCCGUAAGGGUCGUACGGGUUCAAGUCCCGUCUCCGGCA